AUGGCCAUGGCUGCGAUUCAUCGUUGCUGGGACCAGCAAAUUUUUUUGCUGGAAACAGCGAUUUUUUUUGCUACGACCCCAGCGACGAUGAUUCAUAGUUUGCUGGAACGACAAGUACUUUUGCUGGAACCAUUUUCUUUUUUUGUUGCAAGCAUAAUUUCUUUUUGUUAUGACCGUUUUGAUUUUUGCUGGAACAAACAUCCAUUAUUUUUGUUACCAUCGUCUUGGAUUUUUUUGGUGGAACCGGUGUAUUUUUGUGCUACAACUGUUCUUCAAUUUUGCUGGAACCAACCCACCUUUUUUGUUUGCGAUUUUCAUGAUGGCGAGCGUGCGGACGAUGAGCGUCGACGGCAAGCGAUUGGCCAUCGCCACCGGAGCUGCAACCGUCGCUAUCAGAGCUGCAAUUGCAGGCCACAGCUGUUGCAUGCAUGGAGUCAGAGACAAGUGCAGGCGGCGACCGGUGACAAGGACAUCCGGCGAGGGCGGCCGAUGAGGUGCGGUGACCGGCGACGAGGACAUCCAGCGUGGGCGGCUAGGACAAAGGGAGCGAUGACCCUGGAAGACAAAGGGAGCAAUGAGAGGCAUGGGGUCUUUUUUCAUACGCGCUCGUGCGGCAGACAACUACAUCGAUCGUACGACUGCAGACGACUUAAUCAGACGGCUGAAAGUGGACCGGCCGAAUGA
rnacentral:rRNA from 1 species